UACAGAGGGUGCAAGCGUUGUUCGGAAUUACUGGGCGUAAAGCGCGUGUAGGUGGCCGAUGUAAGUCGGGUGUGAAAUCCCUCAGCGUUAACUGAGGAAGUGCACUCGAUACUGUGUCGCUUGAGUGUUGGAGGGGAUGGCGGAAUUCCCGGUGUAGAGGUGAAAUUCGUAGAUAUCGGGAGGAACACCUGUGGCGAAGGCGGCCAUCUGGACAACUACUGACACUGAGACGCGAAAGCGUGGGUAGCAAACAGG
rnacentral:rRNA from 1 species